rnacentral:pre_miRNA from 2 species
CAACUACGAGCCACGGUACUACGAGGACCAUUGAGGACCUGCGGGACAAGAUUCUUGGUGCCACCAUUGAGAACUCCAGGAUUGUCCUGCACAUCAACAAUUGCUCAUCUGGCUGCAGAUG